rnacentral:rRNA from 1 species
UACGUAGGGAGCAAGCGUUGUCCGGAAUCAUUGGGCGUAAAGCGCGCGUAGGUGGCCCUGUAAGUCCGUUGUGAAAGUCAAAGGCUCAACCUUUGAAAGCCGAUGGAUACUGCAGGGCUGGAGUCCGGGAAGAGGCGAGUGGAAUUCCUGGUGUAGCGGUGAAAUGCGCAGAUAUCAGGAGGAACACCAAUUGCGAAGGCAGCUCGCUGGGACGUUACUGACGCUGAGACGCGAAAGCGUGGGGAGCAACAGGAU